rnacentral:rRNA from 1 species
GCCCAGACUCCUACGGGAGGCAGCAGUGGGGAAUAUUGCACAAUGGGGGAAACCCUGAUGCAGCGACGCCGCGUGAGUGAAGAAGUAAUUCGUUAUGUAAAGCUCUAUCAGCAGGGAAGAAAAUGACGGUACCUGAGUAAGAAGCCCCGGCUAACUACGUGCCAGCAGCCGCGGUAAUACGUAGGGGGCAAGCGUUAUCCGGAUUUACUGGGUGUAAAGGGAGCGUAGACGGUCCUGCAAGCCAGAUGUGAAAGCCCGGGGCUCGACCCCGGGACUGCAUUUGGAACUGUAAGGCUAGAGUGUCGGAGAGGCAGGCGGAAUUCCUAGUGUAGCGGUGAAAUGCGUAGAUAUUAGGAGGAACACCAGUGGCGAAGGCGUCUUACUGGAUCGAAACUGACGUUGAGGCUCGAAAGCGUGGGGAGCAAACAGGAUUAGAUACCCCGGUAACA